rnacentral:rRNA from 1 species
UACAGAGGGGGCAAGCGUUAUUCGGAAUUAUUGGGCGUAAAGGGCGCGUAGGCGGCCAUCUAAGUCAGACGUGAAAUCCCUCGGCUCAACCGAGGAACUGCGUCUGAUACUGGAAGGCUUGAAUCCGGGAGAGGGAUGUGGAAUUCCAGGUGUAGCGGUGAAAAUGCGUAGAUAUCUGGAGGAACACCGGUGGCGAAGGCGGCAUCCUGGACCGGUAUUGACGCUGAGGCGCGAAAGCUAGGGGAGCAAACGGG